GUACCUUAACCGCCAUGUUUACAUGGCCCGCCUUGGGCGCUUACGUUGUUGUCCGUCGGGGGGCCUCGGCUCCUCUUUCUGUGUUUCUUCAACACCGUCUCUCAGGUUAACCGCGUGGGCGUUUGUAGGGUGAAAACCCCCGGGGACACUGAGAAGGAGAUUCAGUAGAAGAGAACUUUAGAACUUUAGAAGCAAACUUUAACUGUUAGCCCAUCAGGAAGGAAGAGUGGCUUCCCAAGCGCAACCCCUAUCUACAUCUAUAACAGAAUGCUGACUAGCCCUGUCAUCUGCGGGUCUUGCACAGUGUUCCCUGAGCCCUGGAGAGGAUUCUAAAUCCUACCUACUUGACGAGAUUAACCAUCACACUUUCCAAACCAGUGUAUCUCAAGUCUCAUAAUGAAGUUUCGUAACCCAGAAGAAAGUUCAUUUUUGACAAUGAUGAGUCAACUUAAUUUUGAAUGUAAACCAAAUAAUAUGACACUUCUGCUUGAUCAGGGGCCUAAAUACCUUUUGCAAAUUUCCAGAUAUUGGUCCACAUUCAUGAUGUGUCUCUAACAAUAUCUCUUGGUUUCAUCAGGGUCUUGCUGCCUGAAUCAAUGAUAUUAAUUCUAGAGGUCAUAUACCUUACAUAUCUUUGGUCUCUUUUGGAAAUGAGAGUGUAACCUGAAGAAUGAAGGCUGAGGAUUCUAAAGGAACUGCCUUUUGCCACACUACAGCUGAUGUAAAGAUUGCAUGGUUACUUGAAGUCUGUAUAUAUGUCCCUCAGAAUAUUUUAGAAGUUGUUUUCCCACAAGUAAUUUUCUUUAAGAGUCGGUUUGUGCAUAUGCUUUUUUUUACAGUGUUUUGACCCAUGAGA